rnacentral:rRNA from 1 species
GCGCCCUCUGGUAUUCCAGAGGGCAUGCCUGUUUGAGCGUCGUU